AUUGAACGCUGGCGGCAGGCCUAACACAUGCAAGUUGAACGGUAACAGGGAUCAGCUUGCUGAUUCGCUGACGAGUGGCGGACGGGUGAGUAAUGUCUGGGAAACUGCCUGAUGGAGGGGGAUAACUACUGGAAACGGUAGCUAAUACCGCAUAACGUCGCAAGACCAAAGAGGGGGACCUUCGGGCCUCUUGCCAUCGGAUGUGCCCAGAUGGGAUUAGCUAGUAGGUGGGGUAACGGCUCACCUAGGCGACGAUCCCUAGCUGGUCUGAGAGGAUGACCAGCCACACUGGAACUGAGACACGGUCCAGACUCCUACGGGAGGCAGCAGUGGGGAAUAUUGCACAAUGGGCGCAAGCCUGAUGCAGCCAUGCCGCGUGUAUGAAGAAGGCCUUCGGGUUGUAAAGUACUUUCAGCGGGGAGGAAGGGAGUAAAGUUAAUACCUUUGCUCAUUGACGUUACCCGCAGAAGAAGCACCGGCUAACUCCGUG
rnacentral:rRNA from 1 species